GUGAUCAUGAGUGCAAGAGGCAAGAGGCAUGUUCCGGAAGCUAAGAAAAUAGCAAAGGUGUUGAUCCUGACAGAGCUGAGCUACUGAACGUCAGAACAGCUUUUUAGGUUGAAAAAUUCACAUUGUCAUUUCGGCUGAGAGAGAGAGCAACAGUAUUUGCCUCCCAACAUUGCAUUUACCUUCAAGCAGCCAGCUCAGACGGAGGGAAAGGAAGUCGAAGAUUUCGAAGCAACCCUUUGGCAGUCAGUCGUACGUGAAUGGUGGAUAAGGAGAAUUUGGGAGACAACAACAUGUCUUCAGAGCAGGUGAAAAGAUUUCGCAGAAGAAACAGCUUCCAGGCACG